rnacentral:rRNA from 1 species
UACGAAGGGGGCUAGCGUUGUUCGGAAUUACUGGGCGUAAAGCGCACGUAGGCGGAUUUGUAAGUCAGGGGUGAAAGCCCCGGGCUCAACCCGGGAAGUGCACUCGAUACUGCCGAGCUAGAGUAUCGGAGAGGUUGGUGGAAUUCUCGGUGUAGAGGUGAAAUUCGUAGAUAUCGAGAGGAACACCGGUGGCGAAGGCGGCCAACUGGACGAAUACUGACGCUGAGACUCGAAAGCGUGGGGAGCAAACAGG